AGGUGAUUGUGUCCCUGCCUUUUGUACACAC
rnacentral:rRNA from 14 species